CGCCGGUCAGAGGGCGCCUCUGCAGUCAGUGCUGUGCGCCCGCGCACGUUGCACCAAUACUAGGUGCGCGCGAGUAUGGACCGUACGCCAGAUGUUUACUAUGUAAUGUCGGAUGUACCUACAGUCUGUGCUUGCACCUGUCAAUGCCGUUGCUUGCAGACGCUCUUGGACGCGCGGCAGAUCUGUGGCGAAGAAGGCAGCGAGCAAAUCUCCUGUCCUAAAAAGGGACCAUAUUUUCUUAAAAAGCUUACCCUUGAUAAAUAUAUACAUAAUUACCAAUAUGAUUGAUUUGAUGAUCUACCAUAGUUCUAACUAGGACAUGGAAAAAUCAAAAAGGAAAAUCGAAACAAUGAGUCAACAACGCGUCUAAACGCGAUGAUGCAAUGAAUCCGCAUUCCACAAAUUUGCAUUUCAAGUACUCUGUAACGUGACAUACUUACAUGUAACAAAUGUACCUUCAAAGUGGGGCAUAAAGUGGUCGAGGGGACAGACGCAUUUCAUUUCAUUCAGGGCGAGGUCGUGUUUUGAUUGCAAAACCAAAAAUAAAAAUUACACUGCAUCUCCUGGCUAUAGA